CCCCCCGAGUUUACAACUCCCAAACCCCUGUGAACAUACCACUUGUUGCCUCGGCGGAUCAGCCCGCUCCCGGUAAAACGGGACGGCCCGCCAGAGGACCCCUAAACUCUGUUUCUAUAUGUAACUUCUGAGUAAAACCAUAAAUAAAUCA
rnacentral:misc_RNA from 1 species